rnacentral:rRNA from 1 species
GACGAACUGUGCAAACGUUAUUCGGAAUCACUGGGCUUGAAGAGUGCGUAGGCGGUUUCGUAAGUAGGGUGUGAAAGCCCCCCAGCUCAACUGGGGAACUGCGUCCUAAACUGCGAGGCUGGAGUGAGGUAGGGGUGUGUGGAACUUCCGGUGGAGCGGUGAAAUGCGUUGAUAUCCUAAGGAACACCGGUGGCGAAAGCGGCUCACUGGACCUCUUCUGACGCUGAGGCACGAAAGCUAGGGUAGCGAACGGG